GAUGAACGCUGGCGGUGUGCUUAACACAUGCAAGUCGAACGAUGAAGCCCAGCUUGCUUGCUCUUUUAGUGGCGGACGGGUGAGUAACACGUGAGUAAAUCGCCCUCUACUCUUGGAUAAGCCCGGACAACUGGGACCAAUACUUGAUAGCAAAGACUACCUCAGGGUGGGAGCUGGAAAGAAUUUCGGUUUUGGCUAGACGCGCGGCCUAUCAGCUUGUUGGUGGGGUAAUGGCUCACCAAGGCGGAGACGGGUAGUCGGCCUGGGAGGGGGACCGGCCACCCGGGGACUGCGGGAGGGACCAGACUCGUACGGGAGGCAGUAGUGGGGAGUAUUACACAAUGAGCGAGAGCCUGUUGCGGCGGCGCCGCGUUAGGGAUGACGUCCUUCGGGUUGUAAAACUCUGUCGGUAGAGAAGAAGCGAAAGUGACGGUACCUGCAGAAGAAGCACCGGCUAACUACGUG
rnacentral:rRNA from 1 species